rnacentral:rRNA from 1 species
GAUGAACGCUGGCGGCGUGCCUAACACAUGCAAGUCGAACGGAGUCGUUUUGGAAAUCUCUUCGGAGAUGGAAUUCUCGACUUAGUGGCGGACGGGUGAGUAACGCGUGAGCAAUCUGCCUUUAAGAGGGGGAUAACAGUCGGAAACGGCUGCUAAUACCGCAUAAAGCAUUAAAUUCGCAUGUUUUUGAUGCCAAAGGAGCAAUCCGCUUUUAGAUGAGCUCGCGUCUGAUUAGCUAGUUGGCGGGGUAACGGCCCACCAAGGCGACGAUCAGUAGCCGGACUGAGAGGUUGAACGGCCACAUUGGGACUGAGACACGGCCCAGACUCCUACGGGAGGCGGCAGUGGGGAAUAUUGCGCAAUGGGGGAAACCCUGACGCAGCAACGCCGCGUGAUUGAAGAAGGCCUUCGGGUUGUAAAGAUCUUUAAUCAGGGACGAAACAAAUGACGGUACCUGAAGAAUAGGCUCCGGCUAACUACGUG